rnacentral:rRNA from 1 species
GACGAACGCUGGCGGCGUGCCUAAUACAUGCAAGUCGAGCAAGCUUGCCUAGAUGAAUUUGGUGCUUGCACCAGAUGAAACUAGAUACAAGCGAGCGGCGGACGGGUGAGUAACACGUGGGUAACCUGCCCAAGAGACUGGGAUAACACCUGGAAACAGAUGCUAAUACCGGAUAACAACACUAGACGCAUGUCUAGAGUUUAAAAGAUGGUUCUGCUAUCACUCUUGGAUGGACCUGCGGUGCAUUAGCUAGUUGGUAAGGUAACGGCUUACCAAGGCAAUGAUGCAUAGCCGAGUUGAGAGACUGAUCGGCCACAUUGGGACUGAGACACGGCCCAAACUCCUACGGGAGGCAGCAGUAGGGAAUCUUCCACAAUGGACGCAAGUCUGAUGGAGCAACGCCGCGUGAGUGAAGAAGGGUUUCGGCUCGUAAAGCUCUGUUGGUAGUGAAGAAAGAUAGAGGUAGUAACUGGCCUUUAUUUGACGGUAAUUACUUAGAAAGUCACGGCUAACUACGUGCCAGCAGCCGCGGUAAUACGUAGGUGGCAAGCGUUGUCCGGAUUUAUUGGGCGUAAAGCGAGUGCAGGCGGUUCAAUAAGUCUGAUGUGAAAGCCUUCGGCUCAACCGGAGAAUUGCAUCAGAAACUGUUGAACUUGAGUGCAGAAGAGGAGAGUGGAACUCCAUGUGUAGCGGUGGAAUGCGUAGAUAUAUGGAAGAACACCAGUGGCGAAGGCGGCUCUCUGGUCUGCAACUGACGCUGAGGCUCGAAAGCAUGGGUAGCGAACAGG